GGGAAUUGUAGUUCCUCCGUGGAGUCCGGGACUCAGACUCAGCAGCUAAGCGACGGUGCCAUUCCCGACGCUUCUCGGUAGGGAGUGGAAGGCAGCCUGUUUCCCCGAACCCGCGCUGUGCUGGCUUCUGGUCCUGAGUAGGGAAGCGCUUGGCGCACCGCGGGAUACAGCUCUCUCGGACACUGUUUGCUGAGCAUCUUUUCUGAAGCCCUCGCACGUCAUCGUAGCACUGGGCAGGCUGGGGCAGCGGGGUCCCAGGUCUGUACUGCAUAGCAAGUUCUCUGAUAGCCCAGGCUAGGUUACAGAGGCAGCCCCGGUUUUCUAAAGUAUCCAAACAAAGUAGCAUCAAGAGACGGCAUUUUGUAUUUGGUAGGUCAUAGAAUGAGACUCAACUGGGUUUCCUAAAGAGAGAAGGGGAGCUGAAAUUCAUCACGUUUGUUGAAUGAAGAAACAAUGGGAACGCUAUUUAGAGAUGUUGUAGACCUUAGAGACCCCAGGAAGGCGCGGAGCUUCCACCCGCCCCCUACUCAGGACCGCUGGGACUGCGAGCUCGCGGCGCCCAAAGUACUGAAUUUGGUUGGCUUUCAGGGACGCCGGGUUUCCAGGGCCCCUGCAAUGGGCGGGGACAGUUAAUUCAUUGGGGCCGGAACAAAACCAACUUGAGAAUUUAAAGGUAAACACAUUUUUAAUCUAAGAAGCAAGAACAAUUAGCAAUCAACUGGAUCUUAAAGCUUCAGUUUCCAAAAAAUUCAACAGAUGACACACUAUUAUCACACUUCGGAUCAAGGUGUUUUGUUCCUCACCUUCUUACAAUAGAGAACUGUACAACCAGGAAGACAAAUAACUGCAACAAAUCAUUGGCUAUUAGUGCUUCAAAUAUUUACACCAAAAUAAUGACGUGUGUGAGAUGUGAAACUGCAAAGGAUCACCAGAGGUGAGAAGGAGAUUUUAAGAGAGGGAGACCCGGAUAGACAUAGUAUUGGAAUACAAGGGAAUGAAUACAAGGAGCACAAAACAGACAGACUAUUUAGUAGAGGAAGGGGACCAGGGAGCUUUAGGAACCGCGGGGUUAGGGGUAGAGGGGCUGGAGGCAGGAAAAAAAGGAAACACAUUAGAAUGAGAUAUUAUUGUCAUGUGUAUAAAUGCCAUUAUGAGACUCAUUGAGAAUGCUAAUUUAAAAAAUUAAUUUAAAAUCAACACAGCACCACUAAAUACUAGUUUUUUCAACAUACUGUAAGAAAUAUGCGGUUAAAUAGAAUAGAAGAACUUAAUCGGGUUAUGCAAAUUAUGCGAAGUUUCCAAAUCCCUUGAGGAAGACUAGAAGUCACUUGAAAUACAGGUAUUUGUCACUUCUAAAAUUGUGAAAAUGUGUUCUUUUCAGUUUUCCAGUCAAUAAAUAAACCAGUAAAUAAAACUUCCCAUUGGGCACAGU
rnacentral:lncRNA from 1 species